UCCAACUGAAACUUAAUUUCUUACAAAAGAAUCCUGAAAGAAUAAGGAAUCUAACAGGCAAAGAUAUAACUAUCUACACCUCCACAGAGAGGAGCUUUUUCAUCUUGGAUGGAUCUUCCCCGAUUAUCUUCGCAAGCGAUAAUAUGUGCAAUAUGUCCCAAACUAUCAAAAUUUCUCCACACUCACAAAGUUCCAAGGGCUGACGCUACCGCUUCCAUUGGCUUAGUCGAUCUGCUCGCCGAUCAGGUCGAGACCCACCAGAAGGAACGACACGCCCUGGAAAAGCAAGAAAUAGAAAUGUAUACCCUGUGCUGACAGCAGACUCCGAGCAGCAGCCGUUAGGAGGAGGAAGGCGAGCGAAAGCUCCUUCAGAUAAAUCCGGUUGUGUUUCCUCUUCGACUCUUUCUUCUGCCGCGAUUCUUCCUUCAUCAUCGCAUCGAGGUUGGACUCUGACGCCCCACGGUGGUGCUGAUGCUCCUUCCCCACUAGCGACUGGAGGUCGCCCUCGGACGAACGUCCAGAUUUUUUGGUAACCUCCCAUUUGUAAGCGCUUCCGAGCUGGAACAGACCGGAAAUCAUAGCAUUGAACUUGGUCACGGACAUAGUGUUCUCGAAGAGGAGGUAGGGGACGAUGAAUGGGAACGAUCUCGGAGCGGGGAGGAUGUUGAGGAAGGACAUGGCUGCAGGGAUGUAGCAGACCACCCAAGCCGGGAGCUCGGCUUCUGGUACGAACAUGGUCAACGGGAGGAUGAUGCAGAAUAGCGUGAAGGAAUAGAAUGGCAAUAUCAGUUUCCUUAGGAGAAAGAAUAGAAAUAUCAGGUUGGUCUUUUUCCAGAAUCCAAUCUUCGAUCGUAUAAUGUCGACGAAGCAUAACCUAAACAAUUGCAUAGGACCAGAGUGCCACCUGUGCUGCUGCUUCCUGUAAGCCUCGUACGACUCCGGUAAUUCACAUUGACACUCAACGUCGUUGAGAAAGAUGAACUUCCACCCAUCAAGAUGGGCGCGAACGGCAAUGUCCAUAUCCUCCACCGUAGUCCUCUCCAACCAACCCCCGGAAUCCUCCAGCGCCUUCUUCCUCCACACUCCAGCCGUCCCAUUAAACCCGAAGAAAUUGAGAUACACCCCAUUCACCUGCUGCUCCACCUCGAAAUGGAAACAGAGGUUAAUGUUCUGCAAUCGGGUCAGUAAGUUCUCAUCUUUGUUCACAAACGACCACCUCGCCUGCACCAACCCCAACUCCUCAUUGUCCUUGAAAUGUGGCACGGUCCGCUUCAAGAAAUCUGGGAAGGGUUGAAAGUCAGCAUCGAAGAUGGCGACGAAGUCAUAAUCCUUGACAUAGCUAUAGCUCAUGGCAUUCUUGAGAUUCCCAGCCUUGUACCCCGUCCGAUUGGUGCGGUGGUGGUACACUAUGUGUGCACCCUCCUUCCUCCACCGCUCCACCUCCUCCCUAAUCAGCUCCUGCGCCACAAUGUCGUCGG
rnacentral:misc_RNA from 1 species